UCGAAUCCAGACUCACAGCCCGGAUCGGGAUGGGUUGUCACAUAAAAAGUUGACUUACCUUUUUCGUCCAUUUAGAACUCCAGAGUUAAGUGUGCUUGAGCUGGAGUAAUGGAAGAAUGGGUGACCUAUCGGGAAGUGAUUCGCAAUACCGUGUGAGUGAGGCUAAAGCACGGGGAAAGAUAAUGUGGUUAUUGCAGGGUCAGUAAACAAUGAUUUUGAGCCUUGGAAAAAUUAAUGGACCGACCAUUGGAAUGGAAUGGGGCCCACGGGCCGAGUGAGCGGGCAUGGAUGGCCCAUUAGCUGUGGGUGAUCGGGGUGUUACAAGCUCCACGAUAGGUUUCAAGACGCCUCUCGGGUCAGAACUGAGAUGGAUAAUGUGGUUCUGAUACCACUUAUAACGUCCCGACCACCCACGGCUAAUAGGCCACCCAUGCCCGCUCUCUCGGCCUGUGGGCCCAUCCCAUCCGACAGUCAGUCCGUUAAUUUUUCCAAGGCCCAAAAGUCUUGUUUACUGACCCUGCAAUCACCACAUGAUCUUUCCUCGUGCUUUCGGCUCACUCACAUGGUAUCACGAGUAACUUCCCAAUAGGUCACCUAUCCUUUCACUACUCCAGCUCAAGCACGCUUAACUCUGGAGUUCUAAACGAAAGUGUGACGAAAAAAGUAAGUCAACUUUGGUGACAUAGGUAGUCAAAUCAAUCAUCUUAAGACAUUCCAUAUAUCACAACUCGGGAUGUUACAAUUCUUGAGUGAGGCUAAAGCACGGGAAAAGGUCAUGUGGUGAUUGCAAGGUCAGUAAAUAAUGAUUUCAAGCCUUGGAAAAAUUAAUGGACCGACCGUUGUAAUGGAAUGGGCCCACGGGCCGAGUGAGCAGCCGCGGGUGGCCGAUUAGCUGUGGGCAGUCGGGGAAUUACAAAUGGUAUCAGAGCUGGUUAGCCAUCUCGGUUUUGACCCGAGAGGCGUCUUGAGACUUGUCGUGGAGCGCAACAAGGACGUUGCAUUUUUGAGAGGAGAUAAAUUGUAACAUCCCGAGUUGUGAUAUAUGGAAAGGCUUAAGAGAAUUGAUUUGGCUACCUAUGCCACCAAAGUUGACUUACCUUCUCCGUCACACAUCCGUUUAGAACUCCAGAGUUAAGUGUGCUUGAGUUGGAAUAUUGAAAGGGUGGGUGACCUAUCGGGAAGUGAUUCGUGAUACCGUGUGAGUGAGGCCAAAGCACGGGAAAAUAUCAUGCGGGGAUUGCAGGGUCAGUAAACAAGACUUUCGAGCCUUGGAAAAAUUAACGGACCGACCGUCGGAUGGGAUGGGGCCCACGAGCCGAGAGAACGGGCGUGGGUGGCCCAUUAAUCGUGGGCGGUCAGGGCGUUAUAAGUGGUUUCAGAGCCAGGUUAGCCAUCUCGGUUCUAACUCGAGAGGUAUUUUGAGACUUGUCGUGGAGUGCAACAAGGGUGUUGCAUUCUAUGAGAGGGGGUGAAUUGUAACAUCCCGGUUUAUGAUAUAUGGAAAAGCUUAAAAGGAUUAAUUUGGAAAUUGACUUACCUUUUCCGUCACACAUCCGUUUAGAACUCCAGAGUUAAGUGUGCUUGAGCUGGAGUAGUAGAAGGAUGAGUGACCUAUCAGGAAGUGAUUCGCGAUACUGUUUGAGUGAGGCCAAAGCACGGAAAAAGGUCAUGUGGUGAUUGCAGGGUCAGUAAACAAUGAUUUCGAGCCUUGAAAAAAUUAACGGGCCUACUGUUGGAACGGAAUAGAGCCCACAGACCCAGUGAACGGGUGUGGAUGGUCAAUUAGCUGUGGACGGUCGAGACGUUACAUUUUUCAUGUUCGUUUAAUACAUAGUUGUGAGUGUAUGGUGUGCAUUGAGUUUGUGAGUGAUUUGGUGAGGAAUUGAUACGCAAACUCUAUCAAAAUGAUUGAGGAAGGCAAGGCAACAAUAAAGGCAAGUGAAGCCAAAAUCAUGCAUCUCUUCUUUACAUAUAAUAUAAAUAACAUCUCCUGUCUUUUAGCUCUCUCUGACUUGUUCUAUGAUUACACUCACUGCAUUGUUGAUUGAUUCUUUUGGCGUUCUGCAGCACCAACAUUGUUGAUUGAUACACUCUUGUUGUGCAACAGCAGCGAGGAUUGACUUCUUGAGUGUGUUUUCCAGUGGUCAAAAAAGGUUAAUAAUACCAAGAUUUACUGUUAAAUUAUUUGUUUAUUUAGUGGUUGUGGAAUGUUUUUAUUAUUUGAGGAGGAAACAUCCUACCACAAGCAACACAAACAAUUUUUAAAAUCCACUUAUGGGGUUCAGAAUAAAUAUAAAAAUUUGGAGAAUCUUCUAAAAUGUGAAAUUGAAAGAAAAGUGAUGCUCCACAUCGCAUAUAACUACUCUGACAUAGGCAACUUUUAACACAUUUCUCUCUCUACGAACAAAAGCUCUCGACUUUAUCUUCUCUGGUUGCUCCGGCAUCGGUUAUCGACGUCGGAGGCGUGCUCCUCUUCCUCUCUAUUCCUCGUUUUUGGUUUGCUAUCUGUCUCUGCUCUCUCCCUUCCACCGAUAUACAUGGAGUUCUGUCAUCGCUCGGCUUCUCAUCUUCGGUGAGGCCUCACCGCUUGUGAAGUUCGUCGUCUGGUUGGAGUUUCAGUGAGGUGCGCAAUGUGGGUUCAGGUCAGGGGGUCGGAUUUUAGGGAUUGAGGCUCGUCUGAGUUUCAUUUUCUUUUUAGAUAUCUGGCGACUCUCUAGGAUUGGUGGCGUGUGGCUUUGCUGAGAAGACUCCUCUUCCCGGAUCUGUGCGGUUCGGUGUCAAUAUUAUCUUUCUGAUCUCCGGUGGAGUGGGAUGGCGGUGCAUGAGUUAUCUUCUCUGCUUGGUGUCUUGUAGAGGAAGCUCAGCUCGUCCUCAUCCAGGAUGUUUAGUGUGAUUCACCGAUGCGUGCAAGGUGUUUCUGGUCGGCGUGUCGGUCGUUUCUCUUUGAUGGUGGCUCGUGCAAGUCAGUGCUCGGCGGCGGGGGUGAGUUGUCUAUGGCUCCGGCUAAUCCCGAGUUUCGUUGCAUCCUCUUUGUUUUUUUCUCCAGUCAUGACAUUGCGGUUUAUCUCUCGGGUUGCUUUCGUCGCGAGGUUCCAACUUCGAGCGUACGGUCCUUGCCCUCAUUCUAAAGCUUUCGCUUGUCUUCGUGAGCUUCUGGAUGUGUUCUGAAGCGGGCUGUCCUCUUGUUCUCAGAGGCUGAGCAUGGCGGGUUCUUGUCUCCGCUAUGUCUCGCGGUUGACAGGUCUCGAAGACAACAUGCUUUGGAGUUCAACUUCCCAGCGCAAUAGCUUGUCUUUUGGAAGCUCUUGUGGUUGUGUUUCUAACUGCUUUAUUUGCAGCACGGAAAAAGAGAGAGAGAGAGCAGAAAUGCUUCAAGGCGUGGGGCUUUCGUGUGGCGACAGAAAGCUUUUAUUUUAUCAAUUCUAUCAUCGAGGAGCCCGUGGCUUUCGUUGCACUAGUUUUCCUUCAAAAUUUCUUUUUAAUUUUAUCAUUUUCAUUUACUACUUUUUUUUCCUUUUUGGGUUAGCACAUGUAACAUGUUCAACGAUUAUUUGUCCUACAAAAAAACUAACAAUUUGGUAAA